rfam:Aedes aegypti strain Liverpool supercont1.3637 genomic scaffold, whole genome shotgun sequence.
UGCCCAGCAACUCCUAUCCCUACCUCCUCAUGUUACUGGCCGGGGUACGAGUUAUCUUAGGGAAGAUCUGGUAACCAACCCCGGUGGGAACUUUGGUCGUAUGCUGACAGCAGGAAAGG